UACGGAGGGGGCAAGCGUUGUUCGGAAUCACUGGGCGUAAAGGGUGCGUAGGCGGGUCUUUAAGUCAGGGGUGAAAUCCUGGAGCUCAACUCCAGAACUGCCUUUGAUACUGAAGAUCUUGAGUUCGGGAGAGGUGAGUGGAACUGCGAGUGUAGAGGUGAAAUUCGUAGAUAUUCGCAAGAACACCAGUGGCGAAGGCGGCUCACUGGCCCGAUACUGACGCUGAUGCACGAAAGCGUGGGGAGCAAACAGG
rnacentral:rRNA from 1 species